CUUGUUGCUCGGGGAGGCGCCGGGGCGGCCGCGGGCCGAGGGAGCGCGGGGCUGCGGCGGCGGCGCGGGGCCGUCCCCGCCGCGGGAGUGGUUUGUCCUUCAAAGCUUGGAGGAGCUUACAGAUGUAAUGUCAGAGAGUGCAGAAGCCAGUUUCACUGUUACCCUUGAGCAGAAGUGGUCUGAUUGUAUUUUUACCAUUUUAAACAAAAGUGACAGUUUCUACAAACAUACCAAAAUCCUGCCUGGAUUGCCUUAUUUUGGAAAUUUGCCGGCUUUCAUCUGCUGCAUCGCUCUGUGGGCAAAGGAUAACCGUGCUGGGAGCAGACCCAGGCCUGAGUACCAGAUUCUCUUGGGGAAGUAACUCCACAGCCUGAAAGACGUCUGGAGGGGGAGACCCCACCCUUGGGAGCCUGGAGAAGGAGAGCCAGCCCAUUCCGGAAGGCCACAGGGAAAGCAUGACUGAGGUGGAGCCCGUGUUGGACUUUGCAUCCUCUGGGAGGACUGGCCGAAGGAACGCCCUGCCUGACAUCCUGGGCUCACCGGCCGGUGUCAGCCCUUCUGACCUCCCUCUCAAACUAGCAGAAAUGUCUCUAAACGCAGACAGAUCCCAGGAAAUGCAGUCCCCAACCACAGAGGUGCCCCCUCAGCAGCCCCAAAGCCCAGAGCUGAAGGACACAUCUUAACACCUCCCGUGGGCGCGUUUCUGACCAGCAGGGAAAGAGGAGACUGUCGAGCAUCAACCAAGCUUUACUGGCGUGGCCUGGAGUUUGCUGGGUUUUCCUUGGUGCUAUGCAGCAAGAACAUCUUGUGUUCCUUGGAAGAGGGGAGCAGAGGAGGGACAUGGAGCAGCCGAAGGGGAAUAAGCCCCUCAAGUCUGGUGCAGCUGGGACAAAUCCCUGCAGGGAACCAUUUCUUCUGUGGUGUUUAAGGGAACAAACAAAGGGACCAAGGGCUUUUGUUUUGGGGGAUAUUUUCUUGUCUUCACACCUGCACAGUCAAGCAGCUCAGAGGCAGCCUUGCCCUAGGAAUUGCUGAGAGGAGCAGGGGAGUAGCUAUUUUUAUGUGAGGGCACUGUCCACUGUGACGUUUUGGGAGCAAUUUCUUUGUUCUUUUUCUCAUGAUCCAGUAUCCUUCUUCAGGCCUCUUGACAAGAUUUGGGGAAAUGGUCCAGAGGGGAACACAGUGCAGGCUCCACUCUGUGUCCCAAUGGAGAAGCCCUUCUCUAAGAAGCAGGAAUCGGGGACCAUUCUUGGGCAUGAUCCCACUGAUCCAGGGUCCCACUGUAAACCCUUGCCAUGUGUGUGCGUGUAUUUGGGGGGGGGGCUCAGCAAUACCCCCUCCCCACUUCUGUCCCAGGCCUGGCACAGACUCCCAACCCUCCUGGGUUCCUGUUAGAGUCCAGGCAAGGGGAACACUGUGCAAAGCUACUUCCUUCACUGCUGGCCCUGAGAAGCAGACCCUGCUCUGUAGCCAUGGCAUUUGGUCUGUAACCAAUGAAGGCAGGAACAAGAUGAAGGGGCAGCUGGGCUCUGCAGUGCAUGGCAGGGUGACUGACCAAUACUGUAGUGAACUGAGUGGAGGGAGGCUGACCUGACUUCAGGGUUAGGCAACAGGGUUAGCAUAACAUCCAUGAGCUGGGAGCCUAGGACUGUGCUUGCUACACACAGGCUUCCAGGACCUGGCCACAUGCUGCCCUCUGCAGAACAGUUGAUGUAUUACACAGGGCUCACCACACCCACCUGUUCCCAUCCCUUACAUCCCAAGCUUGCCAUGGCUGAUCUGCAGGUGGCACCAGGUGGUACUGAAGUCUGGGCAGGGACUGAAUACCUGCUUUCCAUCAAAGGCACAGGAUCUCCCACCGCAUCCAGUCCUCCUGCCUGGCUCCCAGAGGAGAAGCUGUUGGGCUGUGAUCUCACUGCAGAGCAUGAGGUGGGGCUCAGGGCUGGUAGGGUGCAACGGGCACAGGAAGGAGCUCUGGUGCAGAGAAACCUGAUGGCCUGCUUGCCCCUUAGCAUGUGUUUGCGGUGUGAGAAGGCCUGGGAGCCCAAAAUAUGGAGCAGGGCCCCAGUAGGUAGGACACUGCCCAAACACAGCACAGACCAGGGCCCAGCUGAUAAGACCAUGCAGAGCUUCCCGGUCUGCAAGGGAGCUUGUACUGAGCCCCUGCAGAGCAGCUGCUGGCUUUUCCCCACCAUUCACCUGGCAGUCAGGACCAAGCUAAUGAGCAUGACAGAGAAUUGUGGGAUACCUGGCUUAAUAGAAAUGAGCACUAAGCACCAAGCCGAACUCACUGCCACUGGCCUUGUUUCCAGUACUGGGUGCGUAGAGGCACCAGGAGAACAGCCCUAGUCGUGGAACAAUCCUGCAAAGAUUCUCUAUCUUUAAUGAAUGAUAGAGUGGGGAAUGAGUUAGCCUGGAGUUAGACUGUCCCCUCCCUUGCCAUUUCUCCCCCUGGGCACCCCGGCUUCUCAUCAGUGAGUACUCUCUUUGACAAGGCUGCCAGCGCCUCCUCAGGGAGCCCCAUAGGGAGCCCACCCCCUCCCUGCUGCACAGCUAAGAUGUUCAGGAGACUUCAAAAGCCCAUGCUGGUUUUGUCCCCCAUCUCCCAAGGUCUGACAGUAACAUAUUUCUGGCUUUCCACCAUCUGCCAGUCCUAAGGGCAGGUAGCUUAUGGCUGCCUGUCCUGGCCCUGCUAAUCUGAGUUUUUGGUGAUUCUCCAGGUUCCCAUAUGCAGUUAAGGGUUGUGCGGUAAGUGUAUCUAUCCCAUGUCAUUAACUUGGUAACUCAUCCUAAAACUCUUUUUCCAGCCUGGUUUUUCUGGGGUGAUGUUUCCUGGCCUGGCUCUGGGCAGCUCCUGCUUUGCAGGACUUGGGCCUUGAAGUGCUCAGCUGUGCUGCUGUUGGAUCAGGAUGAAUCUCAGCGCUACAGCAGGUCAUGGUCAUCAAUGCUACAGGUGCCUCUGUUGAACUGGCCAAGGAAUACAAAACCCAAAGAACGAAAUACUUCCACGGGCACCAAACAUCCAUUGUGCUACACAGAGAUAACAACCCUUUGUCAUUCUCCAGCUCCUUCUAUCUGGGAAUUUCAGUCAUUUAUAAAAUGAUCGCAUAUACCCACAAAUCUCACUCUGGUUAUAAACAUGUCACUGGUCCAAAGUGCUGAUUAUAUUCAGGAUUGGAUAAGUAUUUAAAAAAUACAGACCCACUGAGCAACCCCUGAAGGCUCAACAUGGAUUUUAUACAUUAAUGUCUCACAGCCAUAAACCCCAUGCUGUUAACCAAUCCAGGCUCUCAGGUUUCUAGAGGUAUAAAGCACUUAUUUCUAUCUGGGAAAAAUCAUUGUACCCAGCCUUUUACAAUCAUACCAUUCAAUUACCAUUUUGCCUUCCUCCCCUACCUUCUUAAUUUCCAUUGUGAUUUUUGGUAGCUGCCAUUUCAAGAACUACUUGAUCUACAAUUUGAUAUUUCUUGCCAUUGUGAGAGGGGGGGCACCUGGAAUCAGAGACUGCAAAAGGGACAAGGCAUCAGUUUCAAACUUGAAAUACCAGCUGCUAAAAUCAUAUUUCAUUGGCUCUUCCACAAGUACUUUGCCAGUGGGACCAAGCCAAAUGUUUUCAGAACUAAUCAGUCUUUUCCAAGCACAUCCCAAGUCCAGAGCAAGCGAUUGUGUCUCUGCCCUCCCUCCCAGUCUGUUAAACUUGUAAAACAUCUGUCUGCCAGGAUUGUGCUGCAAGGAGAGAACAAGGGGAAACUUGGGUAUAUCUGGAAUAAAUCAAUUGCCAGGAAUGGCAAAGUUAUAGUUUUACACAAGUGUAACUGAGACCAGGCUCUGGUCUCACUGUCUAAAUAAUUCCUGAACAAGGAUACUGGAUUUAGCAUCAUUCUUACUGUGUAAACAAGCAGUACCCUGGAUUUAAUGUCUGUACAAUGUAGCUGUGUGUGUGUUGGUGCGGGUCCACGUUGGGUGUGUAUAGUGUGUUCCUGCUGCUUCCUUGGGAUUCUGAACUGAGCACAGAAAGUGUAUGGAGGCCGUGGUCUGGGGUGGACAUGGGGACCAGAAACUUGUGGCUACUGAUCUGACCUGACAGUGCUAGGAGGAUGAAGAGCAGUUCCAAAAGGAAGCUCCCUCCCUCUCUGAUGAUGUGUGUCUUUGAACAUCAAACUGUCAAUCUCAUUCAUUUUGGCUGGGGUAUAGUUGGGCAUCAGGAGGGGGCUGGGAUGGGGAGAGAAAACAGUGUAGUUAUUUGAAGAGAUCACUGCGUGUCUGGGAGAGUCCUGGACUGCUCACACCAGGGGACUUGUUUGAGUAAUAAAUUGUGAGUAUUUUCCUGUGA